rnacentral:rRNA from 1 species
GUGCCACGCGGUAAUACGUAGGGUGCAAGCGUUAAUCGGAAUUACUGGGCGUAAAGCGUGCGCAGGCGGUUGUGCAAGACAGAUGUGAAAUCCCCGGGCUCAACCUGGGAAUUGCAUUUGUGACUGGCGGGCUAGAGUAUGGCAGAGGGGGGUAGAAUUCCGACGUGUAGCAGUGAAAUGCGUAGAGAUGUGGAGGAAUACCGAUGGCGAAGGCAGCCCCCUGGGUCAAGAUUGACGCUCCAUGGCCACGAAAAG